CCUACGGGUGGCUGCAGUGAGGAAUAUUGGUCAAUGGGCGCGAGCCUGAACCAGCCAAGCCGCGUGAAGGAUGACUGUCCUACGGGUUGUAAACUUCUUUUAUAAAGGAAUAAAGUGAGGCACGCGUGCCUUUUUGUAUGUACUUUAUGAAUAAGGAUCGGCUAACUCCGUGCCAGCAGCCGCGGUAAUACGGAGGAUUCGAGCGUUAUCCGGAUUUAUUGGGUUUAAAGGGAGCGUAGAUGGGUUGUUAAGUCAGUUGUGAAAGUUUGCGGCUCAACCGUAAAAUUGCAAUUGAUACUGGCAGCCUUGAGUACAGUAGAGGUAGGCGGAAUUCGUGGUGUAGCGGUGAAAUGCUUAGAUAUCGCGAAGAACUCCGAUUGCGAAGGCAGCCUACUAGACUGCCACUGACGUUGAGGCACGAAAGUGUGGGUAUCAAACAGGAUUAGAUACCCGUGUAGUC
rnacentral:rRNA from 1 species